ensembl:snRNA U6 U6 spliceosomal RNA
GUGCUUACUUCGGCAGCACAUAUACUAAACCUGGAACGAUACAGAGAAGAUUAACAUGGCCCCUAUGUAAAUUCCUGAUGCAUUCUAUAUUUUG